GGACGCCAGUCUGCAUGGAGCCGGCCUUGAAAUACCACCCUUUAAUGUUUGAUGUUCUAACGUGGACCCGUGAUCCGGGUUGCGGACAGUGUCUGGUGGGUAGUUUGACUGGGGCGGUCUCCUCCUAAAGAGUAACGGAGGAGCACGAAGGUUGGCUAAUCCUGGUCGGACAUCAGGAGGUUAGUGCAAUGGCAUAAGCCAGCUUGACUGCGAGCGUGACGGCGCGAGCAGGUGCGAAAGCAGGUCAUAGUGAUCCGGUGGUUCUGAAUGGAAGGGCCAUCGCUCAACGGAUAAAAGGUACUCCGGGGAUAACAGGCUGAUACCGCCCAAGAGUUCAUAUCGACGGCGGUGUUUGGCACCUCGAUGUCGGCUCAUCACAUCCUGGGGCUGAAGUAGGUCCCAAGGGUAUGGCUGUUCGCCAUUUAAAGUGGUACGCGAGCUGGGUUUAGAACGUCGUGAGACAGUUCGGUCCCUAUCUGCCGUGGGCGCUGGAGAACUGAGGGGGGCUGCUCCUAGUACGAGAGGACCGGAGUGGACGCAUCACUGGUGUUCGGGUUGUCAUGCCAAUGGCACUGCCCGGUAGCUAAAUGCGGAAGAGAUAAGUGCUGAAAGCAUCUAAGCACGAAACUUGCCCCGA
rnacentral:rRNA from 2 species